rnacentral:rRNA from 1 species
UACGUAGGGUGCAAGCGUUGUCCGGAAUUAUUGGGCGUAAAGAGCUCGUAGGCGGUCUGUCGCGUCGGCUGUGAAAUCCCGAGGCUCAACCUCGGGUCUGCAGUCGAUACGGGCAAACUUGAGUGUUGCAGGGGAGACUGGAAUUCCUGGUGUAGCGGUGAAAUGCGCAGAUAUCAGGAGGAACACCGGUGGCGAAGGCGGGUCUCUGGGCAACAACUGACGCUGAGGAGCGAAAGCGUGGGGGAGCGAACAGG